rnacentral:rRNA from 1 species
AUUGAACGCUGGCGGCAUGCUUAACACAUGCAGGUCGAACGGCAGCGCGGUUGUGGUAACACAACUGGCGGCGAGUGGCGGACGGGUGAGUAAUGUGUAGGAAUCUGCCUUGAGGAGGGGGAUAACUUGGGGAAACUCAAGCUAAUACCACAUAAGCCCUACGGGGGAAAGCUUGGGACCGAAAGGCCAGGCGCCUUAAGAUGAGCCUACAUCGGAUUAGCUAGUUGGUGGGGUAAAGGCCUACCAAGGCGAUGAUCCGUAGCUGGUCUGAGAGGAUGAUCAGCCACACUGGGACUGAGACACGGCCCAGACUCCUACGGGAGGCAGCAGUGGGGAAUAUUGGACAAUGGGCGAAAGCCUGAUCCAGCAAUGCCGCGUGUGUGAAGAAGGCCUUCGGGUUGUAAAGCACUUUCAGUUGGGAGGAAGGGGAUGAUGUUAAUAGCAUUGUUCAUUGACGUUACCGACAGAAGAAGCACCGGCUAACUCUGUGCCAGCCGCCACAGUAA